rnacentral:rRNA from 1 species
GACGAACGCUGGCGGCGUGCUUAACACAUGCGAGUCGAACGGAAAGGCCCUGCUUUUGUGGGGUGCUCGAGUGGCGAACGGGUGAGUAACACGUGAGUAACCUGCCCUUGACUUUGGGAUAACUUCAGGAAACUGGGGCUAAUACCGGAUAGGAGCUCCUGCUGCAUGGUGGGGGUUGGAAAGUUUCGGCGGUUGGGGAUGGACUCGCGGCUUAUCGGCUUGUUGGUGGGGUAGUGGCUUACCAAGGCUUUGACGGGUAGCCGGCCUGAGAGGGUGACCGGCGACAUUGGUACUGAGGUACGGCCCAGACUCCUACGGGAGGCAGCAGUGGGGAAUAUUGCACAAUGGGCGGAAGCCUGAUGCAGCAACGCCGCGUGCGGGAUGACGGCCUUCGGGUUGUAAACCGCUUUCGCCUGUGACGAAGCGUGAGUGACGGUAAUGGGUAAAGAAGCACCGGCUAACUACGUG